UAGGGAAUCUUCGGCAAUGGACGAAAGUCUGACCGAGCAACGCCGCGUGAGUGAAGAAGGUUUUCGGAUCGUAAAACUCUGUUGUUAGAGAAGAACAAGGACGUUAGUAACUGAACGUCCCCUGACGGUAUCUAACCAGAAAGCCACGGCUAACUACGUGCCAGCAGCCGCGGUAAUACGUAGGUGGCAAGCGUUGUCCGGAUUUAUUGGGCGUAAAGCGAGCGCAGGCGGUUUCUUAAGUCUGAUGUGAAAGCCCCCGGCUCAAGCGGGGAGGGUCAUUGGAAACUGGGAGACUUGAGUGCAGAAGAGGAGAGUGGAAUUCCAUGUGUAGCGGUGAAAUGCGUAGAUAUAUGGAGGAAAACAAGUGGAGAAGGCGGCUCUAUGGUCUGUAACUGACGAUGAGGCUCGAAAGCGUGGGGAGCAAACAGG
rnacentral:rRNA from 1 species